rnacentral:lncRNA from 1 species
UAUUUCUAUCAAUGUCAAGAACGUUUCCUAUGCAGUUAUUCUUUCAAAUAUUUUUAUUAAAGAACCGAAAUGUCGCGCUGUUACAACUGUGAGAGCUGGGAUGAAGAAUGAAUGGCCAACGGCAGAAGAUGACUUGGAGCAGCCUGAGCCAAAGUGGUAUGGCAAACACUUGGAGCACAUUUAAAAGAAACUGAAGUCAAAUUACAAGAAGUUUGACAAUUUCAGAUUGAGAGCCAAACUGAAAAGAUGAAUGUGAAGCACAGGCUGCUUUUGCAUGAACAAAGGGGCACCAGAACUGAGAAGACAGUAAAACAUAAGGAAAGGCAGUUUAAAAUGUGAGAAGAUUUGAUUAUAUCUCAGAACAAGAGGAACAAAAGCUAGAUAUGUUUCUCUCACAGCAGUUGUUCGAGCAGCUGAAACAUAUAAUAGAAAAAUCAAGUCAGUAAUGAUCUUGUAUGCACUUUAUCAGCUGCUGUUUCCAUGUUUCAAGAAGAAAAUGUGUCUCCAAUGGGAGAGUCUCCCCUCCAGAAAGUGCCAGAUCCAUACUGAACCAACCUGAAAGUGGAAAUGAGCAGUGUGAUGAUUUGAACCUGGAAGCUGCAGUCAUAGCUUGGAAAAAGAGAAGUCAAGGAAGAGCAAGGCAGAGGUCAGAAUUUGAAAUGACUAUCUUUCGUAGGCAGUGUCAUAACAAAAGUGCUACAACACAAUAA